CCUACGGGUGGCAGCAGUGAGGAAUAUUGGUCAAUGGACGAGAGUCUGAACCAGCCAAGUAGCGUGAAGGAUGACUGCCCUAUGGGUUGUAAACUUCUUUUAUAUGGGAAUAAAAUAUUCCACGUGUGGGAUUUUGUAUGUACCAUAUGAAUAAGGAUCGGCUAACUCCGUGCCAGCAGCCGCGGUAAUACGGAGGAUCCGAGCGUUAUCCGGAUUUAUUGGGUUUAAAGGGAGCGUAGGUGGAUUGUUAAGUCAGUUGUGAAAGUUUGCGGCUCAACCGUAAAAUUGCAGUUGAAACUGGCAGUCUUGAGUACAGUAGAGGUGGGCGGAAUUCGUGGUGUAGCGGUGAAAUGCUUAGAUAUCACGAAGAACUCCGAUUGCGAAGGCAGUUCACUGGACUGCAACUGACACUGAGGCUCGAAAGUGUGGGUAUCAAACAGGAUUAGAUACCCUUGUAGUC
rnacentral:rRNA from 1 species